GACGUAGGUGGCGAACGUUAUCCGGAAUUAUUGGGCGUAAAGGGUGCGUAGGCGGCAUGAUAAGUUAUUGGCGGGAAAUCGAGGCUCAACCUCGUGGAAACUAAUAAUACUGUUUUGCUUGAGUACAGGAGAGGUUAAAGGAACUCCAUGUGGAGCGGUAAAAUGUGUAGAUAUAUGGAAGAACAUCAAUAACGGCGAAGGCAGUUAACUAUUCUGUUACUGACGUUGAGGCACGAAAGCGUGGGGAGCAAAACGG
rnacentral:rRNA from 1 species